rnacentral:lncRNA from 1 species
UGCUCCUGAAGAUGUCAUGAGGUGGAAGAGUAGAACGGUAGCUGACAUUCAUAGCUAGUUCUAACAUUUGAACUGAACAAUCACGACAAAAGAAGUCUAUGGCUGUAACAUUCAUAAUAAGUAGUCCCAACAUUUCAAAUUAACAAUCACAACAAAGAAAAUCUACUGCUGCAACAUUUAGAACGAGUACCCUGAAAUAUUUCAAAUCUAACAAAAGGUACUCAUGCGACAUACAU